AACUAUUUUAUAUGGUAUCUGCCUGCAAUGCAGAAGACCCAGGUUCGAUUCCUGG
rnacentral:tRNA from 1 species